rnacentral:misc_RNA from 1 species
CACAAGCCAUCAAGAAUGAUUGAAUAAGUAAUUCUAUUUGGCUGCUGACCAUAAGAACACAUGUUCUUGAAAACCUCUAGUGCAGUUCCAGAUUGCCCAGCCUCCCACAAACCCUUUAUAAGAGUAUUAUAAGUAAUAGUGUUGGGAAUUAAAGUAGUUUUACGCAUUUCAUCAAAAAGUUUUACUGCUUCAUCUAUCCUUUUGCUCUUGCAGUAUCCAUUAAUCAAGAUGUUGAAGCUAAUUACAUCAGCUAUGCCACUGCUUAACAUCUGAUUAAACAGUUUUCUAGCUUCAUCUAUUUGGCUACACAUACAAAAUCCAGCCAUCAAUGAAUUGUAAGUGACAAAAUUAGGCUUCACGCGCUUUUGGAUCAUUAUUUUCAUUAUUUCUUGAGCUUUUGAAACCAGUCCUUCCUUGCAAAGAUUGUCAAUCAAUAUAUUGAAGGUAAUAAUGUUUGGUGAUAUGUUUUGCCCCGCCAUUUCUUUCAACAAGGCCAAAGCUUGAUUCCAUUUGCCUAAAUUGCAAAGACCAUGAAUUAAGCAGGUGUAAGUGAUAACAUUAGGUGAAAUGCGUUUAUCCCUCAUUUGAGAGAAGAGGCUUACA